rnacentral:rRNA from 1 species
GAUGAACGCUGGCGGCGUGCCUAAUACAUGCAAGUCGAGCGAACAGACGAGGAGCUUGCUCCUCUGACGUUAGCGGCGGACGGGUGAGUAACACGUGGAUAACCUACCUAUAAGACUGGGAUAACUUCGGGAAACCGGAGCUAAUACCGGAUAAUAUAUUGAACCGCAUGGUUCAAUAGUGAAAGACGGUUUUGCUGUCACUUAUAGAUGGAUCCGCGCCGCAUUAGCUAGUUGGUAAGGUAACAGCUUACCAAGGCAACGAUGCGUAGCCGACCUGAGAGGGUGAUUGGCCACACUGGAACUGAGACACGGUCCAGACUCCUACGGGAGGCAGCAGUAGGGAAUCUUCCGCAAUGGGCGAAAGCCUGACGGAGCAACGCCGCGUGAGUGAUGAAGGUCUUCGGAUCGUAAAACUCUGUUAUUAGGGAAGAACAAAUGUGUAAGUAACUAUGCACGUCUUGACGGUACCUAAUCAGAAAGCCACGGCUAACUACGUG